CUCAGCAAGGCCUGUCUGUUCAGAUUCUUUUUGGCCUCUCUGUGUGGCAAUCCUUCCUCCCAGCUAUAGAGCAGAGACCUUCUGGAAUGAAGAUCUUAUGAUCUACUUUCAGACAUGGCAGCUCAGAGAAUUUCUUUACAGCCAGCUCUUGCCCAGAAAGAUGCUGUUGUUAGAGACCAAAUACACCACCCCUAAAUAUGCUGGAAAAGUUACCCUUUCAAAGAGGAUUUACAUCUGUAAAGGAAAUCUCCAUUCCUGCACCAGGAAGAGAAGGAUGACUAAAUCCUUCGAGAUGUAUCUAUGGAGAAGAAAAUGAUAUUUCAGCCCAAAGUUUCAACUCCCUCUUGGAUCUACCCUAGAGAUUUGCUCAGCUCACUGUGUAACUCCCAUGGAUAUACAAGCCCAGCUUCCUCCAAGAGAGGUCCUUCCUUAGGACUCUCAGUGCCAUCUCUUCCUGAUCUUGUCCUUCUCUUGAGAAAGUCUACCCUACUCCAGAGGCUGACCUAAGACUGGAAGCCCCCCUCUUCCCUGGACACCUGUAGGAUGCAUUCCAUGGUUCAGCUGGCUAGUCUCUGAGGUAGGCAGUCAGCACUUACUUGAGAGGGACUUUGGAUAGUCCAAGCAGGGCUUUGGCACUGCAAAUUCAAAUAAGAGUCCAGAGGAUGGGGCUCAGCCUGCAGGCUCUGCCCUGGGCUGUGUCUGUCAUAGAGGCUCCUCUGGCAGUAAGACCCAACACAAAAGCAUUGAAACUACCCCGUGCUAUGUCUUAGGCCAGGUCCUAUUCAUGGGGGAGGCAACCCCAUGCUGGUGUCUGUAGACAGAAGAGGGAAUUAAAGGAUUUCGGACCCUCUGUACUGCAGGAGCCAGGUCAGGAGAGGGGUCCCCUCUUCCAUCAUACAUAUCACUGAAAAUGAGUUGGAAGUAAAAGAAGAAUUCCUCUAUAUCACACAGUCAGAUCAGGAGGUCAUUACUUAAGUUAAAAACAAUUUUUAAAAAACAAAAUAAUCAUCAGAACAUGCACCUCCUUUAAAUAAAAGGCCCAUUAAGUGCCUUUCUAAUGUCCUGAUUGGAGCAUAAAUUGGGGCAUGUUAGGUCAGAUAAAAGUGACCUGUGUGAUAAAAUUAUACAUUAUGAUUACAUAUAUUAUAUUGUUUAUUUUCUGUUUCCUUCUUUUUCUCUUAGUGUUUUUUUUUCUUUUCUUUCUCUUUUCUUGCCUUGCCUUUGCCUUGACAGGGACACUUAGAGGAUUUGACAGGUCCAGCUACAUCAGAUCAUUGGAAUUGGCAUGAAAAAGAGCUUCUGGGCCUUACAUAGGUUUUUCCAAAGAGUGGGGAAACCCCAAGGAAUUCUGUAACCUUAAAAUAAACUGAGAUUCAUUAGUGCAGAAACACAGAAAGCUGUCUUCUGAGUCUCGGAAACUAAGAUUUUAGAUGAAGUUAAUUUUCUUAUAAAAGAAUACAAUAUUAUUGUAAAUAAUUUAGAGAUUGCAUAUAAGACAAAGAAGAAAAUAAAAUGAGCUAUAUCCGUUCCUCCAGCCAUCAACACCUUCCACAUUUGUGGCACAUCCUUUCAGGAUGUAUGUGUGUGUGUGGGAGGGGGGUGCUUACCUGUGUGUAGUAACUUCAUGUUAUACAUAUGCCUUUUUCCCUCAAGGGUGACCACUGUUGUUGCCCAGGCUGGAGUGCAAUGGCGCGAUCUUGGCUCACCACAACCUCUGCCUCCUGGAUUCAAGCGAUUCUGCUGCCUCAGCCUCCCAAGUAGCUGGGAUUACAGGUGCCCACUACCACACCUGGCUAAUUUUUUUGUAUUUUUAAUAGAAACAGGGUUUCACCAUGUUGGUCAGGCUGGUCUCGAACUCCUGAACUCAUGUGAUCUGCCCCCCCCUCACCCGCCCCUUGGCCUCCCAAAGUGCUAGGAUUACAGGCGUGGGCCAUGACCUGCUUUUUAUUAUCAAUCUAUAAUUAUAUGUAUUGUUCCUAUAUCAUUAAAUAUUCUCCUUUGAC
rnacentral:lncRNA from 10 species